rnacentral:lncRNA from 1 species
GUAUCCCCGAGUCACUCUCCUGCAUACCACUGCACAGCACAAGGAAGAAAAGAGGAGUUUCUGCAUUGCUUAAACACACAAGAGCUACUGACCUGACCCUCUUGGAGCCAUUUCACACACUCUCCAGGGCACACCAAUGACAUCACAGCAUCUCUCUCACCCCUCUAUGAAUCACAUCAGAGGCCAUUGGAGCAUACCAGGACUGGGAACAGAAGUCAGUUAAGGGUGAGAUGCAGGGAAGAGGAAUGUACACCUUUGUCAUAUCUCUAUAAACAAAGGUUAACCCACUGUCCCCUCUUUUGCAGGUUAUUCCAAAAGUGUGGUGAAUUUUACCAACCCGGACAUUUCCAGCUACCUUUUGCUCUUUCUUUUCAGUGCAGCUUAAUAACCCGUGUGGAUGCUGCGAGCCGCCUCUCUCCCGCUGGGAUAAAUGAGCACUUCAGGAAGUAUUAUCUCCCUCCAGCCUGGACUCCAUGGUGCCUGCACAAAGAGGAGGCACUGAACUGGGGAGCUGGGCCACUAUCAAAAGGCAGAGUGAUUUCAGAAAGCUCCAGGGAGGAGUGGGAACGGCUGUGGAAGCACCACACAAAUCUGCUGUGGCACUGCUGCCUUCCUGAAACCCAAAAGAUCCUUAGUGCUCAGCGUCCAGAGGAGGAAAUCCUGGAGCAAACAUCCUUUAGUCCCAUGUUGUGGCCCCAUCAGCAGCAUCAAGAACUAACUGGAUUAGGGGCUUUUUGUCCAUCUCCACCUCACUCCCCCUCUCAUGUCCGAGCCCUUUGAUGCACAUGCCCAGUUGUCAAGAGAACACUCCGGUUCCCCAGUGCUCUUGUGGAGAGAGCAGGGUUAAAAUGCUUCACUGCUCUCCUUAAUCCCUCUCACAUGAUUUAGUCAACACCAGUAGGGGAGAAGGACUGGCAGGUUUGGCUCCCUCCUCUCCAGAAGUUGGGGAGGAGGGCUGAAUCCAGCACAGCACUCGGGCUGGAUGCUGUGGGAGCUGCACAACCAACAC